rnacentral:piRNA from 1 species
UAAGAAAUUAAGCAUUAUGAAACUCUUGGC